rnacentral:lncRNA from 1 species
AACUCACCCAGCGCAUCCGACUGCACGGUUUUUGUGACCAGUGUCUUGCGCCAAACUCCUGUCUCCUCCUGUGACUUAGAAUGCCUAACUUCCUGGGAAUGCAGCACGGGUCUCAGCCUCAUUUUGCCCAGCCCCUAUUCAAGACGGAUUUGCUCUGGUUCAAAUGCUUCUGACAAUAUUCCUCAUGGUGAAUGCUGGAUUUUGCAUGCCCGAGGCCCUGGGCCACACUGUAUGUUUGCUUUUUGCAAGGGCUGUAUGGCUAUGACUAGUCAUGUGGACCCUGCAUUCCUAUGUAAAUGACCCUCCAUAAAAACCCCAGAAAUGAAUGCUUGAGUGAACUUCCCUGGCUUGUAUUAUAAUACUGUGAACAUCUUGUCACACAUCUUUGCUGGGGGAAUUAAGUGUGUCCCUAUGUGACCGUAAUGGGAGAUAACACCCAGAGUUUUGUGCCUGCUUUCAUGCGGACUUCAUUCUAUGUGAUUUUUCCCUUUGGUGAUCUUGGUCUAUAUCCUUUUAUUGUAA